UACGAUCAGCAUAAGGGCGCACGACGGAUGACUUGGCAUCGAGAGGCGAUGAAGGACGUUGGAACCUGCGAUAAGUCUGAGGGAGCCGGUAACCAGGCAGUGAUCUCAGAAUCUCCGAAUGGGGCAACCCACCCGCAAGGGUACUUUACUCUGAAUGCAUAGGGGUAAAGAGCGAACGCUGGGAACUGAAACAUCUAAGUACCAGCAGGAAAGGAAAGCAAUUGCGACUCCGUAAGUAGCGGCGAGCGAACGCGGAUAAAGUGGAAAGACAGCAGAAGCGCUUGGAAUGGCGCACCUGAGAAGGUGAAAGUCCUGUAUCUGUCUCCACGGAGCCCAAGAGUAAACUCAGGCUCGGGAAACCUGGGUUGAACAUGGGGGGUCCACCCUCCAAGGCUAAGUACUACUCGAUGACCGAUAGCGAACCAGUAAGGCGACUGAACGUUGAAAAGUACCGUGACGAACGGUGUGAAAGAGAUCUGAAAUCGUGCGCUUACAAGCGGUCGGAGCCCCUCGGGGUGACGGCGUGCUUUUUGCAUAAUGAGCCAGCGAGUUAGUCUGUACGGCGAGCCUAAGGGUCAACGACCCGGAGGCGGAGCGAAAGCGAGUCCGAAAUGGGCGUCAAGUCGUACGGGCUAGACACGAAACCUUGUGAUCUACCCUUGGCCAGAAUGAAGGGCGGGUAAAACCGCCUGGAGGUUCGAACGCGUGACCGUUGAAAAGGUCUGCGAUGAGCUGAGGGGAGGACUCAAAGUGUAAUCAAACUGGGAGAUAGCUUGUUCUUUCCGAAAUGCCUUUAGGGGCAGCCUCAGAGGCCACACGUUGGGGGUAGAGCGACUGGAUGACUGUCGGGGUCCGCAAGACUACCGCGGUCAACCAAACUCCGAAUACCAAUGUGAUUGCUCUGGGAGUGAGACGGUGAGCGAUAAUGUCCAUCGUCAAAAGGAGAAAAAUCCUGAUCGCCAGCUAAGGUCCCUAAGUUCCGCUUAGUUCGAAAGGAAGUCACUUUGCUGUGACAGCCGGGAUGUUGGCUUAGAAGCAGCCACCAUUUAAAGAGUGCGUAACAGCUCACCGGCCGAGGAAAGUGGCGCCGAUAAUGAUCGGGAAUAAGCGGAACACCGAAGCUGCGGACGCGAAAGCGUGGUAGGAAAGCGUUGCUGCAGCAGUGAAGUCGUGCCGGAAGGCUAGAUGGAGCGGCAGCAAGUGAAGAUGCUGGCUUGAGUAACGAUAAAACGGGUGAAAAUCCCGUUCGCCGUAAGCCUAAGGUUUCCUGGGGAAGGUAAAUCCGCCCAGGGUUAGUCGGGUCCUAAGGCGAGGCCGACAGGCGUAGUCGAUGGAUAGCAGGCCAAAUAUUCCUGCACCCUUGCGUAGAUCAAUCCGUUGUUCAGAUUUCCGAGCUCCACGGGACUGUCAGAUGUCCAGGCGCAAGCCGAUGUGGGGGGAGGGAGUCUCUAGAAAAGCAGCGGUGGCGAAACAAGGCCCGUACCUCAAACUGACACAGGUAGGCGAGGCGAAUAGCCUCAGGCGCUCGAGAGAACGGUCGUGAAGGAACUAGGCAAUAUAACCCCGUAUGUUAGCUAGAAGGGGGGCCUACUCGUAAGAGAGGCCGCAGAGAAAAGGAUCUGGGAACUGUUUAUCAAAAACACAGCUCUGUGCCAACGCGAAAGCGGAUGUAUACAGAGUGACGCGUGCCCAAUGCCGGAAUGUCAAGGGAGCGGUUCAGCGAAAGCGAAGAUCGCGACCGAAGCACCGGUGAAUGGCGGCCGUAACUAUGACGGUCCUAAGGUAGCGAAGUUCCUUGUCGGGUAAGUUCCGACGCGCAUGAAUCGCGUAAUCACUGGAUCACUGUCUCCACGACCGACUCGGUGAAAUAGUAGUGGCGGUGAAGAUACCGCCUUCCCGCAGCAAGACGGAAAGACCCCGUGGACCUUCACUGCAGGCUCUUAUUGUUCACGAGCAUAUACUGCGUAGCAUAGGUGGGAGGCUUUGAUGACCGGGUCCCGGCCCGGUAGUAGCCAUAGGUGAAAUACCACCCUGUGUAAGUUUGUGGACUAACUUCGAUUCCCAUGAAUCUGGGCGAAGAACAGUGAGUGUCGGGCAGUUUGACUGGGGCGGUCUCCUCCCAAAUUGUAACGGAGGAGUGCAAAGGUCGGCUCAGUACGGAUGGAAACCGUACGUCGAGUGCAAGGGCACAAGCCGGCUUUACUGCGAGUCCGACAGGACGAGCAGUCUCGAAAGAGGGCCCUAGUGAUCCUGCGAUCCCGUGUGGAAGGGUCGUAGCUCAUCGGAUAAAAGGUACCCCGGGGAUAACAGGCUGAUCGCUCCCGAGCGUCCAUAGCGGCGGAGCGGUUUGGCACCUCGAUGUCGGCCCAUCACAUCCUGGGACUGAAGGCGGCCCCAAGGGUUCGGCUGUUCGCCGAU
rnacentral:rRNA from 1 species